rnacentral:rRNA from 1 species
GGCCUAUUGAAUAUAAUUUUAGGUCGAUCUGCCCAAUGAUUUUUAAUUUAAUGGCUGCGGUAUUUUGACUGUACAAAGGUAGCAUAAUCAAUUGUUUUUUAAUUGGAAACUGGAAUGAAAGAAUUAAUGAGAUAUAUACUGUCUCAUAUAUAAUAAAUGAAUUUAAAUUUUUAGUUAAAAUGCUUAAAUUAUUUUAUGGGACGAUAAGACCCUAUAGAAUUUUAUAUUAAUAUAAAUAGUUAUGUUUAUAAAAUUUUUAUAUUAAUAUUUAAUUGGGAGGAUUAGUAAAUUUAAAAAACUUUACUUUGAAUUUAAACUUUGAUUUAAGAAUUUUUUUGAUCUUGUAUUAUGAAAAUAAGAAUAAAUUACCUUAGGGAUAACAGCGUAAUAUCUUUUUAAAGGUCAUAUUAAUAAAGAUGAUUGCGACCUCGAUGUUGAAU